GUAGGUGAACCUGCGGAAGGAUCAUUAAUAAGAAAAUGAACUUAUAAUUAACUGAAUAUAUAUUUGUAGUAAAAUACAAAUAUUAUUUUAAACUUAUAUUAGAUAAAAACCAUAAAUAAAUAUUGGUUGAUAUAAAAUUUUAAACUUUCAACGAUGGAUGUCUAGGCUCCCAUAACGAUGAAGAACGCAGCCAGAAUGCGAUAUGCAAUGUGAAUUGCAGAACCUUGAAUCAUUAGAUUUUUGAAUGCAACUUGCACUGGUCUAAAGCCAGUAUGCUUGUUUCAGUGUGCUAAGCAAAUUAUUAAAGAAUAAAAAUGUAAGAGAUUUUCUCUUAUUAAAUAUAUGCUCUAUGUAGCAGUCACAUUUUAUAUGUGAGCUAUAUAGUAGAUUUAAUGACUUUUAUUGGCACCUGAAAUCAAGUAAGAUGACCCGCUGAACUUAAGCAUAUCAGUA
rnacentral:rRNA from 1 species